GCAGUGCUAUUUCAGUGGUAGAAUUCUUGCCUUCCACGCAGGAGACCUGGGUUCGAUUCCUGGCCAAUGCU
rnacentral:tRNA from 1 species